GAUGGGAGGAAUGGAGACCUGCAUUUGUUGAUGGAACUGGCAGAGCCUGAUGACUUAUUGGAAUCAGGUGGUAGGUGAUGAGGGGUGCUUCCACACGAAUGAUUGCCAGCUUGAGCUAUCAGGGAUGAUGGUGCCAGUACCCAAGAUGGGCAAGAGCAAAGUGGACAAAGGGUAGGGAAAUCGCUUCCAGUCUUCGUGGCCCUCCCUCCCCUGAGGACAUUUCGCAAAGUCUGGGGAGAGCUGACAUUAUCACUUCUCAUCUUCUUCCUGGAGUAAGGUCAGUGACCCAUAGCAUGCGGCUAUCCUAUGCCUCUUUCUGGCCUCACUCUGGUUCCAUCUGAUUUGUGAUUUCAGAAAUUCCAGAUUCGCAGGUGGGACAGGCAGCCUCCUGCAUGACUGCGUGCACAGGGUCUGCUGGGCCCCACCUCCCUGUGGGCACCAGAUACACCUAUCACUUUUCCACCAACACCAGUACCAGCCUGCGGGAGGUCCCGGUGGAGGAGAGUGGUCUUGGCCUCCAAGGCUUGGCUGUCUUUGAUGUGCUUGGCCCGUGUCAGAUGGCUUUAUGGCUCCAAGACUUCCAGGUGACAUCCAUCCUGGGGGCCAAGGUGGAGCUUCUGAAGGAGUCGGAGAGCCUGAGGUAAGACACUUGGCGAUGGGGCUGGGGCUGGGACCUGCCCAAGAUGGGCUGGAGGUGUGAGCCCUCUACCAUCUUUCAACCACUGUCGGGCUCUGGGUGCCCUGAAUUAGAUUAGGACAACCGGUUAGGGUGACCCCUCUGCAGCAAAGAGAUGCCAUCUUGGACUGAAGUUCAAACA
rnacentral:lncRNA from 1 species